rnacentral:lncRNA from 1 species
AAGCCAAGCGACACCAAAGGUGGCCAGCAGCCCAUGUGAAGCUGGAGGAGAGGCCUCGAAUAAAUGCUCCCUUACAGCGUUCAGGGGGAACUGACCCUGUCCACACCUUGACCUUGAACUUCUGGGCUCCAGAACUGUGAGACAGCAUGUUCUGUUGUUGAAGGUACCUGGUCUGGGGUGCGUGGUGCUUUGCAGCCAAAGUGAAUGAAUCUGGUGACACUGACCUGUGUACUGUAUGUCUUGUCUGCAGCUUGCUGGAGCAGCGUGGCUAGAGGAAUUCCUGCAGCUUAGAUUUCGCUGGCACUGUUACCACUCCCAGAGAGGAGCGGCUGGAGUUCACGGCUGGUUCCUGACAAACUUCCUAAUUAAUCUGCUAAAGAUCAGAGGAGGACUAAUAGGAGCUGAAGACUGUGUGCGAGACCACCCCUCCGCCCUCUCCCUUUGUGUGUGCACGUGUGUGUGUGUGUGUGUGUGAGCGCGUGCGC